rnacentral:ncRNA from 1 species
AUGAAACCGAUGAAGUGGAGAUCAAGAUAAUGAUGCCCGUAAAGAGAGUCGCCGUUGCUGAGAGUGCGAUCGAACGCAAAUUAUUAAAUGGACCACUGAGGGCGCGACUAACGAACAGCUUUGUUCUACUACCUCGCGACGAUAGGGAGCCGUCAAUUCCCGGGAAUGUGUUUGCAUUUCGCUAAGCUGGGACCCAAGUCUAACCUGAAUGGGGUAAUUUGGUGUCCAACCAAGGUGGUACCGCGGAAAAAUCCGUCCUUGAC